ACUCGUGUUUUUUUUUUUUUUGAACAAUGGACAUGUGUACUCGUGUUUGUAUGCCAUCCUUCAUCCUUAUCCGCUUCACAAAAAAAACUCUAAAAACACCCUGACACACCGUCUCGAUCGGGUUCGUCAGCCAGUGGGAAGGAACCCUUGCCCCUCUCUCUCUCUCGUUCCCACCCCAAAUGGAUCAGGGUAUCGCCGGAGAAGAGAUGCACGAUCCGGCGAGCGGCGCCAGUGAUGGUGAAGGGGCGUGGACGGGACAGAAGAGGCCCAAGCACCAAUGCCCAUCUCCCACCAGGGAUUCCGGCGAGAUUGCCGGUGCCCGUACUAGCUCAUCAUCCUCUGACGUUCAUGCCGUCCCGGAUCACCAAGAACCUUCCACCGAGAUCGCGCGUGCCAUUGGCAUGGACACGGUCACGGUCGCGUCACGGGAUGAGCUGGAGGAAAAUGACAUUAUCAGCGAUGAGGAGUUCCUUGGAUACCUCAAGGUUUUGGCCACCAGGCCUGCUCCUAUCACCAUCUCUGUGGGCAGUCUGGACAAUGAUGAACAACGCAAGCUCUAUGAGCGCCUCGCUCUCUACCGUGUCAGGGCUUCCAAGUUGGCCCGAGGAGUUUGCGUAGAUGAUCUGGACGAGGUGACACUGACAAAGGAGUACUCUCCAGAAAUCUGAAGGCCUUGCUUGCUGACUAUGAGAAAGAUGACGCUGUCGAUUGGUACUUUGACCGUAACUACUCCUCGCUCGCUGACUUGGGCGACUACCAUCGCCUUGUCCUUAAAGAUGACGGUAUAAGGUACUUCGAUUGGGUGACAUACCGCUCAUCAUUUACUAGCUAUGAAAUUGAUGAAGAAUAUGUAAAGCUCAGUGAAGAAAUAUCAAAGAAAAUCAAGUGGGUUAAACGUUACAUGGAGUGUGAACUAACAUCUUGCGAGUGGAUGGAGAUGAACAAUAAAGGAUUCCGCCAAGCAGUGAGGAUUGCGGCAGGAUUUCCGCGCAUGAGCUAUUUUUUUGUUCUAAUGGCCUUUAAGGAGCACGUGUCGGAUGUGAUGUUUGAUUAUUGGAGCCGUGAAGACAUUGAUCGUCUCUUUUUUGAGAUGUGGAAGUGUAUGACUUAGCAAAAGAUUGAUUCCACAUCUGCUUUGGUCGAAGUCAAUCGACAGGAUAUGUUCCCUCGAUAUCGAAGAAAAAUCCAGUUUGCACUGGAUCGUAGUGACAUUUCUGAUCUGUUUUUAGAGUUUGAUACCUGCGUGGAAGGCAUCCCUGAUGACGCAGCCCAGGAUGGAGCACGUGAGCUGAUUACAUGGGCGGUUUGGAAUAAGCUUAAUAAACCGAAGAUGUGGCACCAGUAUAUUAUAAGGAAGAUGGAGAUUGCUAAACACAUAGGCUUGUAUCCACAAGCUUGACGUGUCUCGAAACCUAGGACACGGAUGGGUUUGACUAAUAACAGUGUAUUAUCCCUACAAGACAUGCAAGUAUUAUCCUGCAGGUCCUGCACGGAUUAUCCUGCAGGGCCAAGCAAUGCACGAUUCGGACUACAAGUAUGACCGAAGAGCACAGCGCUACCGACGAUCAGCUAUGUCCUUUCAAUUGACAUUGCCGGUGUGGAUGUGCAGCGUGGGCCGAUGCUAGGGAUCUUUUUGAGAAACGUUGAUAUAAGACGUCAGGUUACAUGGCAUUGCGUGUCUCCGCAUGGAGAGGAGAGCGCGUGAAGUUUUUUCCUUCCACCUUGUGAAGAGUUCAGGAACAAGUCAUCUUGGUGUGGCCUUCUCUAAGAGAUAAGGUGUCUGUAAUUAAUACUGUAUUUCUGUUUAGACAAGGGCAGGCGAUAGAAUUUACAGUAACAUAUGAUCCGAAUCAUCCGAUUUGUAUUCUGUUCUUUUCCUAUUGGUCUAGAUGGACAAAGAUCA